rnacentral:rRNA from 1 species
CACGUAGGGGCCAAGCGUUGUCCGGAUUUAUUGGGCGUAAAGAGCGUGUAGGCGGCUAGAUAGGUCCGUUGUGAAAACUCGAGGCUCAACCGUGUGGCUUGCAGUCGAUAUGGGCAGGCUAGAGUUCGGUGAGGGGAGACUGGAAUUCAUGGUGUAGCAGUGAAAUGCGUAGAGAUCAUGAGGAAGACCAGUGGCGAAGGCGGGUCUCUGGACAGUUCCUGACACUGAGACACGAAGGCCAGGGGAGCAAACGGG